rnacentral:rRNA from 1 species
UACGUAGGGUGCUAGCGUUGUUCGGAAUCAUUGGGCGUAAAGCGCGUGUAGGUGGUUAGUAAAGUUGAUUGUGAAAUCCCUCGGCUCAACCGAGGAAGUGCAGUCAAAACUAACUAGCUUGAGAGUGGUAGAGGAAGGUGGAAUUCCUAGUGUAGAGGUGAAAUUCGUAGAUAUUAGGAGGAAUACCGGAGGCGAAGGCGGCCUUCUGGACCAUUUCUGACACUGAGACGCGAAAGCGUGGGUAGCAAACAGG